rnacentral:lncRNA from 1 species
UCGAAUUCGCCAAUCUUAAAAGAGAGGAAGAUGUCCCGUGAUUGCGACCUUGGCAAAUCUAAGAUACGAACCCAAUAAUUUGGCCUUGGAUGCAUCCUAACAUCGCAUAGUUCCUAGCUGCUGUUAUUUGGCCGUGGGGCACGCAAGUCGCUCGGAAGAUUCCAAACUUUGGGUUCAAUCCCUUGGUUUGGUCGCCUGCCCGAUACUAUUAGUCAAACAAAGUAAUAGUAGCCUUUACUUUCUCUAAUUUUCUUCUUGUAAACCUCUGUUUAUCUGUCUCCGUACGAUCUUAUUGAACCCAGAAGAAUUGCAAGAUACCUAAUUUCUUUUUCUUUUUCUUUUUCUUUUUCUUUUUUUUUUAAAAAAAAAAAGAAGAAAAUUGCCGGGAGAACCACUAAACAAUAAAGCGCUGCUGUUGGAACGGACUGGGCCAGCCGGCCCAUG